rnacentral:snRNA from 1 species
GUCCCCACAGGGACAUCCGAUAAAAUUGGAACGAUACAGAGAAGAUUAGCAUGACCCCUGCGUAAGGAUGACAUGCACAAAUCAAGAAAUGGUCCAAAUAUUG